rnacentral:misc_RNA from 1 species
GAGAAGAACGCAGCGAAAUGCGAUAAGUAAUGUGAAUUGCAGAAUUCCGUGAAUCAUCGAAUCUUUGAACGCACAUUGCGCCCCCUGGUAUUCCGGGGGGCAUGCCUGUCCGAGCGUCAUUGCAACCCUCAAGCGCGGCUUGUGUGUUGGGCUUCGUCCCCCCGUGGACGUGCCCGAAAGGCAGUGGCGGCGUCCCGAAUGGUGCCCGAGCGUAUGGGAACUCUCUUCCGCUCGAACCGGCCCAUUCGGCGCUGGUCGAACCCCAAUUUUUUUUUACCGGUUGACCUCGGAUCAGGUAGGGAUACCCGCUGAACUUAAGAAUAUCAAUAAGCGGAGGA